UAUUGGGCAAUGGGCGGAAGCCUGACCCAGCAACGCCGCGUGAAGGAAGAAGGCCCUCGGGUUGUAAACUUCUUUUCUAUAGGACGAAGAAGUGACGGUACUAUAGGAAUAAGCCACGGCUAACUACGUGCCAGCAGCCGCGGUAAUACGUAGGUGGCGAGCGUUAUCCGGAUUUACUGGGUGUAAAGGGCGUGUAGGCGGGAGAGCAAGUCAGAUGUGAAAACUACAGGCUUAACCUGUAGCCUGCAUUUGAAACUGUUCUUCUUGAGUGAUGGAGAGGCAGGCGGAAUUCCUAGUGUAGCGGUGAAAUGCGUAGAUAUUAGGAGGAACACCAGUGGCGAAGGCGGCCUGCUGGACAUUAACUGACGCUGAGGCGCGAAAGCGUGGGGAGCAAACAGG
rnacentral:rRNA from 1 species